GGAGCAGGGUAGUGUGUAUAACUAGGGAGCAGGGUAGUGUAUAUAUCUAAGGAGCAGGGUAGUGUAUAUAUCUAGGGAGCAGGGUAGUGUCUAUAACUAGGGAGCAGGGUAGUGUGUAUAACUAGGGUAGUGUAUAUAACUAGGGUAGUGUAUAUAACUAGGGUAGUGUAUAUAUCUAGGGAGCAGGGUAGUGUAUAUCUAAGGAGCAGGGUAGUGUAUAUAACUAGGGAGCAGGGUAGUGUCUAUAACUAG
rnacentral:lncRNA from 1 species